rnacentral:rRNA from 1 species
AUACGGAGGAUGCAAGCGUUAUCCGGAUUUAUUGGGUUUAAAGGGUGCGUAGGCUGACGUGUAAGUCAGAGGUGAAAUGUCCGGGCUCAACCUGGGAACUGCCUUUGAUACUGCAUGUCUGGAGUUCGGAUGCCGUGGGAGGAAUGGGCAGUGUAGCGGUGAAAUGCAUAGAUAUUGCCCAGAACACCGAUUGCGAAGGCAUCUCACGAAUCCGACACUGACGCUGAGGCACGAAAGCGUGGGGAUCAAACAGGAUUAGAUACCCUGGUAGUCCACGCAGUAAACGAUGAUAACUAACCGUCGGCGAUAGACAGUCGGUGGCCAAGCGAAAGCGAUAAGUUAUCCACCUGGGGAGUACGUUCGCAAGAAUGAAACUCAAAGGAAUUGACGGGG